ACGCGAAGAACCUUACCCAGGCUUGAACAGCGAGUGACCACUCACGAAAGUGAGCUUCCGCAAGGACACUCGUAGAGGUGCUGCAUGGCUGUCGUCAGCUCGUGUCGUGAGAUGUUGGGUUAAGUCCCGCAACGAGCGCAACCCUUGUUUGCUGUUGCCAUCAGGUUAUGCUGGGCACUCUGCAAAGACUGCCGGUGAUAAACCGGAGGAAGGUGGGGAUGACGUCAAGUCAGCAUGGCCUUUAUGUCUGGGGCCACACACGUGCUACAAUGGCCGACACAAACCGUCGCGAGCCCGCGAGGGGGAGCUAAUCGGAGAAAGUCGGUCUCAGUUCGGAUCGUAGGCUGCAACUCGCCUGCGUGAAGUUGGAAUCGCUAGUAAUCGCGGAUCAGCACGCCGCGGUGAAUACGUUCCCGGGCCUUGUA
rnacentral:rRNA from 1 species